rnacentral:rRNA from 1 species
AACGAACGCUGGCGGCAGGCCUAACACAUGCAAGUCGAGCGAACCCUUCGGGGUUAGCGGCGGACGGGUUAGUAACGCGUGGGAAUAUACCCUUUGGUACGGAAUAGCCUCGGGAAACUGAGAGUAAUACCGUAUGUGCCCUUCGGGGAAAGAUUUAUCGCCAAAGGAUUAGCCCGCGUUGGAUUAGAUAGUUGGUGGGGUAAUGACCUACCAAGUCUACGAUCCAUAGCUGGUUUGAGAGGAUGAUCAGCAACACUGGGACUGAGACACGGCCCAGACUCCUACGGGAGGCAGCAGUGGGGAAUCUUAGACAAUGGGCGCAAGCCUGAUCUAGCCAUGCCGCGUGGACGACGAAGGCCUUAGGGUUGUAAAGUCCUUUCAGAUGGGAAGAUAAUGACGGUACCAUCAGAAGAAGCCCCGGCUAACUCCGUG